rnacentral:tRNA from 1 species
GGGCGAUUAGCUCAGUUGGCUAGAGUACUUGCUCGACAAGCAAGGGGUCACUGGUUCAAAUCCAGUAUCGCCCA